UUCGCAAUGCCCGAAAGGGUGACGAAGCGACGCCGCGUGAGUGAGGAAGGCCUUCGGGUUGUAAAGCUCUGUCAGGAGUUAAGAAAUGUAAGUGUGCUAAUACCGCAUUUAUUUGACGAAGGCUCCAAAGGAAGCCACGGCUAACUCUGUGCCAGCAGCCGCGGUAAUACAGAGGUGGCAAGCGUUGUUCGGAAUUAUUGGGCGUAAAGAGCACGUAGGUGGGUUUGUAAGUCAGAUGUGAAAGCCUCCUGUUCAACGGGAGAAUUGCAUCUGAAACUACUGAUCUUGAGUAUAGGAGGGGAGAAUGGAACUUCUGGUGGAGCGGUGAAAUGCGUAGAUAUCAGAAGGAACGCCGGCGGCGAAAGCGAUUCUCUGGCCUAUUACUGACACUCAGUGUGCGAAAGCUAGGGGAGCAAACGGGAUUAGAUACCCCGGUAGUCCUAGCCGUAAACGAUGGGCACUAAGUAGAGGGGUUUU
rnacentral:rRNA from 1 species